AACAUCAUUCAAUCCUGUAUUGCAUUUCUCCGUUGUUAUCGAUUCUGUAUCUUCUUCGUGCAGAUUGAGAGGCAUUUACAGAGACAUGGAGGCAGAUUCGAGCAGAAUCAGGCGUAUUCCCGUUCCUGCUAUGGCGCAGUGACACUCACAGAGGAGCAGAUCUCUUUCUUUCACUUCUUAACAAAUGCAUGCGCCAUAGUUGGAGAUCCUGUCCGUUGGAUAUCAUCGGUAUGAAGCUGGUGGAUGGCUGUGAUUCAAUUACUCAACCUGGGAGCCCACACGCUUUUCCAAGCUUUGUGUCAGUUUAUUGGAUUGCAUCCUGAAUUUAUUAGCAAGUGGGGCCAACGGGUAAGUGGAAAUUUUGAAUUCUCUAUUUUUAUUGUGUAAUUAUGAGGCUUAAUUCUGUCACUAAUGUUCCUAAUGAACACAAUCCACCCACUAAUUAUGAUUAUAGUAAAAGUUAAGUAUUAUUAUUAUUAUUAUUUUGUGCUAAACAUAGAAUUUACUUCUGGCAAUAACAACAUGAUUAUAUGGGUGGAUGAAA